GGUGAGUAACACGUGGAUAACCUACCUAUAAGACUGGGAUAACUUCGGGAAACCGGAGCUAAUACCGGAUAAUAUAUUGAACCGCAUGGUUCAAUAGUGAAAGACGGUUUUGCUGUCACUUAUAGAUGGAUCCGCGCCGCAUUAGCUAGUUGGUAAGGUAACGGCUUACCAAGGCAACGGUGCGUAGCCGACCUGAGAGGGUGACCGGCCACAUUGGGACUGAGAUACGGCCCAG
rnacentral:rRNA from 1 species